rnacentral:rRNA from 1 species
UACGUAGGGUGCAAGCGUUGUCCGGAAUUAUUGGGCGUAAAGAGCUCGUAGGCGGUUUGUUGCGUCGGCUGUGAAAUCCCGAGGCUCAACCUCGGGUCUGCAGUCGAUACGAGCAAACUAGAGUGUUGCAGGGGAGACUGGAAUUCCUGGUGUAGCGGUGAAAUGCGCAGAUAUCCAGGAGGAACACCGGUGGCGAAGGCGGGUCUCUGGGCAACAACUGACGCUGAGGAGCGAAAGCGUGGGGAGCGAACAGG